rnacentral:miRNA from 1 species
GAGGCCUGGGAGGCCGGCCGCAUCUCCUCCUCAACUCAGAGUGGGGCCUAUGUGGUCACUCCCUUCCACUGCACUGACCUGGGGUGAGUAGGGUAUGUGGGAGCUGGCUGUCCUGGCAG